rnacentral:rRNA from 1 species
GAUGAACGCCGGCGGCGUGCCUAAUACAUGCAAGUCGAGCGAACAGACGAGGAGCUUGCUCCUCUGACGUUAGCGGCGGACGGGUGAGUAACACGUGGAUAACCUACCUAUAAGACUGGGGUAACUUCGGGAAACCGGAGCUAAUACCGGAUAAUAUAUUGAACCGCAUGGUUCAAUAGUGAAAGACGGUUUUGCUGUCACUUAUAGAUGGAUCCGCGCCGCAUUAGCUAGUUGGUAAGGUAACGGCUUACCAAGGCAACGAUGCGUAGCCGACCUGAGAGGGUGAUCGGCCACACUGGAACUGAGACACGGUCCAGACUCCUACGGGAGGCAGCAGUAGGGAAUCUUCCGCAAUGGGCGAAAGCCUGACGGAGCAACGCCGCGUGAGUGAUGAAGGUCUUCGGAUCGUAAAACUCUGUUAUUAGGGAAGAACAAAUGUGUAAGUAACUAUGCACGUCUUGACGGUACCUAAUCAGAAAGCCACGGCUAACUACGUG